rnacentral:rRNA from 1 species
CCCGCACAGGCGGUGGAGUAUGUGGUUAAUUCGAUGCAACGCGAAGAACCUUACCUGGUCUUGACAUCCCGGAGACCCUUAGGAAACUAGGGGGUGCUUCCAUCUGGAAGAAUCUGGAGACAGGUGCUGCAUGGCUGUCGUCAGCUCGUGUCGUGAGAUGUUGGGUUAAGUCCCGCAACGAGCGCAACCCUUGCCUUUAGUUGCCAGCAGUUCGGCUGGGCACUCUAAAGGGACUGCCGGUGUUAAACCGGAGGAAGGUGGGGAUGACGUCAAGUCCUCAUGGCCUUUAUGACCAGGGCUACACACGUACUACAAUGGCCGAUACAAAGGGCAGCGACACUGCGAGGUGAAGCCAAUCCCGUAAAAUCGGUCUCAGUCCGGAUUGGAGUCUGCAACUCGACUCCAUGAAGUUGGAAUCGCUAGUAAUCGUGGAUCAGCAUGCCACGGUGAAUACGUUCCCGGGCCUU